rnacentral:rRNA from 1 species
UCCCAACGGGGGGCAGCAGUGGGGAAUAUUGCACAAUGGGGGAAACCCUGAUGCAGCGACGCCGCGUGAGCGAGGAAGUAUUUCGGUAUGUAAAGCUCUGUCAGCAGGGAAGAGGAAUGACGGUACCUGAAGAAGAAGCACCGGCUAAAUACGUGCCAGCAGCCGCGGUAAUACGUAUGGGGCAAGCGUUAUCCGGAUUUACUGGGUGUAAAGGGAGCGUAGGCGGCCUGGCAAGCCUGAUGUGAAAUACCGGGGCCCAACCCCGGGGCUGCAUUGGGAACUGCCAGGCUGGAGUGCCGGAGAGG